UACAGAGGUCUCAAGCGUUGUUCGGAUUCAUUGGGCGUAAAGGGUGCGUAGGCGGCGCGGUAAGUCGGGUGUGAAAUCUCGGGGCUUAACUCCGAAACUGCAUUCGAUACUGCCGUGCUUGAGGACUGGAGAGGAGACUGGAAUUUACGGUGUAGCGGUGAAAUGCGCAGAUAUCGGGAGGAACACCAGUGGCGAAGGCGGCUACCUGGACCAGCACUGACACUGAGGCACGAAAGCGUGGGGAGCAAACAGG
rnacentral:rRNA from 1 species